rnacentral:rRNA from 1 species
GAUGAACGCUGGCGGCGUGCCUAAUACAUGCAAGUCGAGCGAACGGUCGAGAAGCUUGCUUCUCUGAUGUUAGAGGCGGACGGGCGAGUAACACGUGGAUAACCUACCUAUAAGACUGGGAUAACUUCGGGAAACAGUAGCUAAUACCGGACAAUAUUUUGAACCGCAUUGUUCAAAAGUGAAAUACGGUCUUUCUGUCACUAAAAGAUGAAUCAGAGCUGCAUUAGCUAGUUGGUAAGGUAACGGCUUACCAACACUGCUAUGCAUACCCGACCUGAGAGUGUGAAUGACUAGACUGUAACUGAGGCAGGGUCCUGACUCUUACAGGACGCAGCAGUAAGGAAUCUUCCGCAAUGGUGGAGAGCCGAACAGUGCAACGCCGCGUGAAGGAUGAAGGACUGCUGAUCGUAGAACUCUGUUGUUAGGGAAGAACGUAUGUGUAUGUAACUGUGCACAUCUUGACGGUACCGAAUCAGAAAGCCACGGCUAACUACGUG